CAAAGGAGGCCUUGCUUCAGGAUAUGAACUCACUAGCUUAUUUUGUAGAUGCUGUGUAUGGCAGGCCCUACUGACUAUAAAUGUAGCUUAAAAACAUGCAAAAACUUUAACUGUUCUUUGCUGCAUUAUGCCCCAGGUUUUAUCUGUACUUCUUCAAUAUGUUAAGGUAAUUUGAGGAUGACUAAAAGGUUAUUUGAGGAUAAUGAAACACUGUGUUUAGCCUGCUACAGUUGCAGAGAAUUUGCUGCAUUUUCCUGGUUAUACAGUUUUACCGUCACAGAUGUAAUGAAAUAGAAAAACAGACGAUAUAAAUCUCCUGUAGCAAGGGGUUGAGGGAAAUGCUGCAGUAUUGGGUGUUUGUUGUUGUUGUUUGUUUUUAGUUUUUUGUUUUUAGUUUUUGUUAUAUGGAGAUGAGAUUUGUAGUCAUUUUCCACCUUUUCUAUAGUUUCUCUCUUAAUUUGUUCUUGAAGCUAUUGAUUCUCUGGAGAAGUUUAUCAUCCUGCCGUACAUCCCUGCUUGUCUGUUGGUUGGAAAUUUCUAGAAUCCCACAGAGACUCCAGGAAGUUUAUGUUUUGUUAAUGCAAAUGUGUUUCUAUUUCUGUUAAUGUGUGUUUUAUAUUCUAUGCUAUCUGUGGGGAAAACCGGAGCCUAAAAGAAUUAAGAGACUUAACCUUAGGUUGCUCAGUGGAAGGCUCUGGGGGGAGAAGAGGAGCCCUUUGACUGUGAAGUAUCUAUGGACUAUGGGUGGUUGGAAGGGAGGAUAGUAAGAUGAGAACAUUGUUUAGGACCAAGAGCAAUAUUAUUAAUUAGGAUUUAGUUGUUCCUAGAGCAAAGCACUAUAUACUUUUGUAUACAAAAAGUAGAAGAAAUAGGCUAUAGUGAUAGAGAGAUGCUUUAGAAAGCAGGGAGUCUUGAAUAUCUUGGAUAAUCUCCAAUGCAUGGAAGGAGAAAUCCAAAUGUUAUAUGAGCAAGCAGAUCACCCUUGAGCAGAAGAGAGAAGGUGCGUUUAUCCUUUUUACUGGGUUUUUUUACAACAGAUUCUGAAGUAAGGGCUUCCUAUAAUGUGUAUAUGGAAGGCAUUGCUAUAUGAAGUGCCAGAAAAACCAGGAGACAUCUGUGAAGCUCAGCAUACAAGAAACAAGCUCCUGAUAAAUGCCUGCUGCUAAAUAAUGCAUUUUGUCUGUAGAUCUUCUUGAUACCUCCAAGAGCUGCAUGCACAGCCAGAUGUAAUAGACUCUGCAGGUGAAAAUUCUGAAAAUACUUAUCUGCAUACAAGCAUAGCUUCAGUGAAUGGGAGCAGACAGGAGUUGUGUUCUACAUGGUAUUCUACCUCAGGAGGAUGUGCUAUUCUGGACUAUAUUAUGGCCACUAAGGCAUGUUGCACAAGAGAGGCCUCAUUCCAGGAGCUUCUGUAUGGCUCGAGAGCUUUGGCCUUGGAGUUGAAGUCCAGUUUUUGCAUAUUGGUGAGAGUGUGAUGAAUUAAAGUGUCAGGGAGAAGUUCUCCUUUUGAA